AAGCCCAUCCAUUUGAGGACGGCCUUCCUUAACCCAAAUGGCCCACAUCGUGCUGUUUGUUCAACGGAAGGGCUGAGGAUGAAUUUUCCCACAAACCGUCAGUGACAGUGGGCCUCUCCAACGCCAACACACCAGUGCCUUCUGUGACAGGACAGAGAGCUGGAGGGCAUCCAGACAGGCAAUAAACAAAAAUUUGAUUGCAUGUCCACGUACCAAGCCCUCUGCUAAGCAUUGGAGGUACAAUGGUGAAAACGUCAUGGCCCUGCCCUCAUGGAGCUUACAUUCUACAAAAGUAAAAGUUCACCUCUAAGAUGGAAGGAAGCAAGAGGCACAGCUGCUCAUCCAGAGGACAAUGCCGGGAGACAGCGGAGACCUAAAGGGGAUGCUCUGCUCUGGCUCCAUCCCCCACACCUCCCACCCACCCCCACAGUAUGCCAUCCCCGAGGAAGGAAGGUGCCAGGCUCCAGAGAAGGGGGGUUGGGCCCCUUUCUCCUGAGGAGGAAAAGAAGGUGAGAAUCACUGACCUGAGAAGUUUCCGUGAACUCUGGCCAUGAGGGAGAAGGGAGGGGGAGAGGGCAGCAGGAGCUGGGCAAGGCGCUGGGGAGGGAAGCGACCUGGCAAAGUGGUUUCCUUGCUGCAAACUUCGCAUUGGAUCCUGUGGCAAACAGACAUGCUGGACCUACCCUGAGGACUGAGAAGGGCUGGGGACCACUUGCCACUGGGACAUUAGAGGAAAGAGUGGUGUUUGGAGCAAGGAGACCCAUCACCCUGGACUGCUGGAGGCUGACCCUGGGUGAGGGGAGGCAGCUUACCCUGAAGGACGACGGAGGCUGUGCCCAUCCUGCCCUUCUGCUCCCUGCUCCACAGAAGUGCUGUGUGUUUAUAGGUAAACUAUGAGUGUGAGUGAGAGAGAAAAGGGCUUCGGUUGGUCCUCAGCAGUGCCAAGUUCUGUACGCCCCAGCUGUUGCCUGAGCCUACCUCCCUCCCAAGCUGAUGGGAACCAAGAGACCUCAAAUUUCCAGGUGUAAACAUCAGGGAGGAGCAAUGAAGAACAAAGAUCAAGACUUCCCAUUUUCCAUGACACUGAUGUGGGGGUGGGGGCGCCAUACCUACCUGGCCCAGUUCCCAUCCAUGCCCUUUGGGGAGCAGGAAGCUGCCAUCUGGGCAUGAGGCAGUGUCAGCCUCACCAUCAGCAUGACACCUUCUCCUGGGACAGCCACGGCCCAUGCAGGCGGCCUGCGCAGAGCCUCCUGAACUCUAGGUCUCUCAAGCCCAAUUCCGCCCAGCUCUCUGAGAUCAGAUAGUCUCAAAAGCCAGGAACUCAC